GGGGGUAUAGGGCAGUGGUAGAGCACAUGCUUAGCAUGCAUGAGGUCCUGGGUUCAAUCCGCAGUACCUCCA
rnacentral:tRNA from 1 species